UUACUACUCCCUCCGUCCCAAAAUUCUUGUCUUAAAUUUAUUUAGAUAUGAAUGUAUAUAGUCACAUUUUAGUGUUAGAUACAUCUGUUUCUAAAAAAACUUAAGACAAGAAUUUUGGGACGGAGGGAGUACUUC
rfam:Hordeum vulgare subsp. vulgare, WGS project CAJW01000000 data, contig: morex_contig_498983